rnacentral:lncRNA from 1 species
AUGUUACCCUAAUAUGCAAUUAUUGGUUGUUUGAUGCAUGAACAUGGUUUUGUGGCUAGCGUUUCAAUGAAGAACACAAGAGGUAGCUCAAAGUUAAAAUCAACUCUUUUCUAAAAGUGUAAAACUCCUAGCCAAAACAAAGGAGCAUAUAAAACGAAUUUAAGCAAGCAAUUUCAAAGAUAGAUUUAGAAAUAUUUGAUGAAGAAUAUUACCCACAAAAUAUGCUUGAUGUUCCUAGGAGAUCUGAGAUGGAGAUGAAAAUAAAGCUUUCAAAAAAACUUUUCCAAUCUUAAACCCUAAAAAUAAAUGAACCCUGGAUUGAUCUUUUAUAGAGGGUUUAAUGUUCAGACAGAAAGGGGAUCAGAAUAGCCAAGUGUCAUGUGCAAAAUCAAUUUGGAAUGAUCUAGGGUUGAGUUGAAGUUCCUUUCGAGUGCAAAUAUAAGGAUAGUAUAACAGCAGAAGUAAGGGUGUCGAACCACAGGGAUUGAGAAACAACUUAGUAAAACCUUUGACUCUUACAAAUUAGCAUUAGUGAAAGACUCCUAUGACUUAAAAUGUGGGGUUAAGUAAUUUUGGAAAAGAAAUAAAGACAAAAAGAAAAGGGAAAAAUUAGAUUUAUCUAAAAAUAAACCUAAGACAUGAAAUAGGUUAGAAACGUUUUUAGGACAUAAAUCUAACUUCAAAUAAACAAAGGCCUUCCCCUAAACAUUCCUGAAUCAGUGAUAUGAUCUUUUAACUUAUCCCUUUCAAAUGCAGAACUAAGUUGUUCACAUAUCUAGCAUGGCAUAUAACUAGAUUGUAUGAAUCCUCUCUUACUUUGCAUGUUAGAUGCAUGGCAUAUACAUAAAACUUAUAUUUGUGGGUGCAACCUAACAUGGCAUAUACUCUGAUCUACCACCUAGAAACUCAUUAAGAAAGAAGAGGAUUAUGAACAUCACAUGAACCCUAGAACAUGGCAUUUAUCCUACAACUUCAUGGAAUCAAUUUACAUGAUUAGUUCUGAACCUAACCACAUGUUGCUAAUGAAUGAAAGAAGAUAUGGCAGUCAUCCUUAUCAUUCUCAAUCGAAAGAAAACAUAAACAAGGUAGCUAAGCUUGAAAAUAUGUACUUGAAACAAUUGAGAUAGGAAAGUGAUUCUAGCUUGCAAAUGAAAUUGAUAAACUAAACCUGUUUCAUAACAUUAAUUCAAUCAUGUCUAGGGCUUCAAAGCAGCCCUAGGUAUCCAUAAAAUGAACUAGAAACAUAACAAAAUACAUAAAAAGUUAGGAAAGCUAGAACCUAGAAACGGCUCGAGGUGGAGGUUUCUGAUUCUGUGUGUUUCUGUUUUUUUUUUUCUCAUCUUCUCCCCUCAUGUUAUGUAUUUGUCUCCUAUUAAAAGGCUUAUGAGUUAUCUAACAUCUGACACAUUUCAAUCCUUAAAUUGACUCUCAUUUAUAACUCAUCACAACCAGCUUUUAGUAUUGAAGUAACUGAAAACUAGCUUUUCUUAGAAUUUGUAACUGAACAACUCCUCUUUAUUCUGUCAUAAUUUCUUGUUGAAACCUCCAAAUCACAAGCUGUAAAGACCAUCAGAAAGAAGACUUCCAAGGCUUUCCAAGCAUAUAUGGCCCAUUGUCUAAUUUGAUCUGAGCUCUUUGGGGCAAAGCUUGCAAGUUGGCUGUUCUGCAAGGGCCUUUUCUGGCAGAUCUUGGGCCACUUGUGGGCUAUAGUUGAUAACUCAUAUAUUUCAUAUAGUUAUUGAUGUGAUAUAAACUAGCACUCAAAUUAAACCCUCUUAUUGAUAAUUGUAGUAAAGAUGUAAGUAGGGAUCGUUCUAGGCCGGGAAUUAGGAAGGAUUGUUAGUCUACUUAAAACUGACUCAAAAAUACAAAACUAGGCUUGAAAACACUUAACUAGACUCAAAGAACUCAAAACAAACCAAAAAGACUCAAAACAGCAUAAAACAAUCAAAUAAACUCAAACUAGACACUAGAGAGUGAUUGGGACGAAAAUUGAUUUCAACUUGACUCAAAACACUUAAAAACACAAGUUUGGACAUAUUCUAACUAAUUUGACACGAUAAAGUAAAGGGGAUUGGGUUUUUGAUGAAUUUAAAGUAAAGACAAGUAACUUAAAGACUUAAACAAGUUUAGCAUGAAUUUGAGGGAAAAUAUGGGUGAUUGACUAGCUAGAGCGUUCUUCUCCACACAUGACGCACUUGCACACAAAUCGAUUUCUAGUUGCUUUUCCAAUAAACCAUGAACCUCAACGCCCCAUGUUAACCGUGAACAGCUAACCCUCAGAUAUUCCUUCAGUCAUUGAAUUGGAUGGACAACACAUCGGCAACCAAAUUAUUCUUCAAUAGUCCUUUCCAUGAGCAGUAUAAUAGAGAUACAAUCAAAGAUCAUUAAGUUUUAUGAAAAUCAUAAGCAUUGACAAGGCACUUGUAACUAUGAAUUGCAUGAUACUUAUGCCAAGAAUUUACUUAACACGAUCAUGACUAGCAACCUCCACUACUUAUGAAUAUAAGUUCAUAACGAUUAGGUGAAACUCCAUUAUAUUCUAGCAUCAAAUUCAUGCAUGCAAACUUUCUUUAACAGUCAUGUAAUUAAAAACUAAAUCCUCGUCAUUGUGUUGGAAGGUACCCUAAGACAUAAAUAAACACACAAAAACGACUCUUUUUGGAUUUUUUCAAAACUUUUUCUAAAUUUUUUUCAAAUUUUUGUAUUUUUCUUUCAAAACACUUCAAAACACACUAAAAACACUUAAAAAUAGUGAAAAUCAACUCUAGAGGUGCUAGGUGGUAAAAUCCCAUGAAAAUCAAUGAAAAAACAUUUUGAUUACCCCUCACACUUAAACCAAACAUUGUCCUCAAUGUUGCAAACAUAGACUCACACAUAAGCAAACAAAUAAACAACGAACUAAUCUUGACAAACAUGGCAAAAUAAAUGCAGUAAAGAGAAGGGUUUAGGAACGCAAAUCUGGUUGUGGAGUAAUUCCUAGGUCUUCUUUAUUUGAAUGUAUGGGGUGCCUCCCAAGAAGCGCUUGUUUUAACGUCUUCUAACCAGACGAUACCUCUGUUUAAGCUUCAUUGGAGCCCAUGGCAUGGAGGGGUAUUUCCUCCACCACAUGCUCCUCGAAACACUUCAUGCUUUGGAUCUUUGAAUGGAAAAGGAUAGUGAUCCUUCCUGAUUGUGGUGUUUUGCUUCCUUAAGUCAACGUGAACUCUCCCACCACCUUGAAUUCGAUUAGGUACCUGCACCAAAGGAGGUAACAACAUAUUAUUUGAAAUGGGAAUUGGCAUUGGCGUAGGUGGCUAACCAAUGUAUUGCGAUGUCGGUUCAAAAGUAGCAGUAUUAUGAACAAAUUCAGUAUGGGUGCUUUCGGUCAUAUUGGGUUUCUUGAUGGCAUGGGCAUAUCCCUUGCGCUUUAUUCCAAUUCUUCGUUGGUGGUUCGAAAUACAUCCUUCUUAAUUUUUGCUGAACGUUCCUGCCCUACAUCUUUAAUUACAUCAAUGGAAAAACAAGAACGAACAUAAUUAGGGUUCUCAAUAGAUUCAGAAACUUUAAAGUUCAUCAUAUCGCCACCAAACACCAUUGUUAAUGCUCCCUUAUGAUACGAGCAUAUUUAUACGACUUAGUUAGCUUCUUUUCUUGCAUUUAUGUUGUUAGUUCAUAGUUAUUUUAGUAUUUUAAGCUAUUUUCAUGUGUUUGUAGGUCCAAAGGGCUAAAGUAGCAAGAAAGUGCAUUUUGUAGCAUUUUGGAGCAGUUUUGGGCUUGGAAUGGAUAUCACAUGCAUGGAGCAAGGUGGAUGGACGAAAUUGAAGACCAAAAGAGGCUAGGAUUAUGCUUAAAGAUAUGAAGAAAUUAAUUCAAGAAAAGAAAGUAAAGGAUGCAAGCAAGAAAGAAGGAAUGUUAGCCAAAGUUACCUUAUUUUGCCCUUAACUUUCCUAAUCCUUCACCACCUAAUUUCCAGCUUUAAGCAGGGUUCCCAAAGAUAGGUUCUAGAAGACCUAAUCCCAGACACAAAGGGGUUGCCGCACCUUUCCUUGCAUCUUCCCUUCCUUGCCGCACAAGGGGAACACUUUCCCUUUCUUUUUAGGUUCCUUUCCUUUUUUUUCCCUUGCUUUGCCGCACCCUAUUUCCUAUUCCCUUUGCAUUUUGACUUUGACUUAGCCUUUUCCUAGUACAUUUAGAGUCAGAAAUCCUAAAACAAUAAUAAAAACUUACUUAGCCAUUUUCCUUUAUUUCUGUCGUACCUUAGCCUUUAUUCCCUAGGGUUUUUACAUACUCUACUAUAUAUAUAACUCCUUGCUACACCUUGAUAGGAGCAUAUUUAUGCGACUUAAUUGGCUUGUUCUCGUGCAUUUACGUUGUGUUUCCUUAGUUAUUUUAGUGUUUAAAGUCACUUUUGUGUAUUUUCAGAUUCCAAGGACAAAGUACGUAAGAAGUUGCAUUUUGGAGCAAAAUGGAACUUGGCAUGAUUACCACAUGCUCGGAGCACAAGGAAUGGACGUAAUUGAAGAUUUGAAGAAGUUAGGAUUCCUAAUCAACGAAGGAUUCCUAAUUGAAGAUGGAUUCCUAAUCACAUGAGGAUUCCUAGAAGAACAAGGAUUCCUACUCCAACAAGGAUUCCUACUUGAAGUAGGAAAGUUAAGCCAAGGUUUCUUAUUUUGGUUUGACCUUUCCUAAUCCUAAUUGUCCCUAUGUUCCAGCAACUUUGAAGGCCUUUUAAGCAUUCUAGGACACAAAUUACACAUUCCUUGCAUGGUCCUCAUUCUUGCCGCACCUUUCCCACCAUCCCUCUUCCUUUCCGUGCAAGGGAGGGAGUUAUUUCCUAUUUCCUUGCUUGUAAACACCUUCCUAAUCUAUUUUAGGUUAGUGCCGCACCCUUUAGCCUACUUUCCCUUAAGUUUCUGAUUUGAUUUCCUAUUUCUAGAAGCUUUUGACUUAAUUUCUGUUUACCAAAAUAGCCUAGGGUUUUUAAUUUCCUAAUCCCUUUAAAUAAACAUCCUUGUGCAGCCACAAAGAUCCCCAUUCAUCCAUAGACUGCCAUUCACGCCAGAACACAUUCCAUACACUUAGCCGCACCAUUCUACCACCAUUCACCCUAGUUUCUGCCUAAAAACAUCCCUAGCCGCCCCAUACACUCACCCUACACCCUUUGCCGUGCCUCUACACCCCCCAAAAUCCAUUCUACAUCAUCAAAAUAGCCCAGGAACCACCAACAUCCAAUUUGCCGCAAGCAAGGAAAGGGGACAGUUUCACUCAAUUGUUUGGCUCUUCAUUCUGAGUUGUUGAACAAUUUUAGGUGUAUUCUAUCUUAUAUUUCAAUGUCUAAUUCAUUUAAUCUUUGUUUUGCUUUAAGUAUGAUUGGCUAAUUUCGUUUUGGCUAAGAGUGUAUUCAAAACCAUGAUUAUAUAUGUGAAAUAAGUUGAUUACUUCCAGUUAUUGUUGCAUAAGUCGUGAAUACAAUUUGCUUAACCGUUUGAUUUAGAACUUAUUCUUGUAUGUUGAUUGAGAGUGCACGCUUAAUUUGCAUGCUUGAAUUUGGUGCUAGGAUAUAAGUUUGUUUCACCUAAUCGUUAUGAAUUUAUAUUCGCAAGUAGUGAAGGUCGCUAGUCACGAUCGUGUUAAGUAGAUUCCUGGCAAGAGUAUUAUGCUUUUCAUAGUUACAAUUGCCUUGUCGAUGCUUAUGAUUUCCAAGGAACGUAAUGAUUCUAACUUGUUUCUUUAUCAUGCUGUUCAUAUAGAGAACUUGUUAGGAAUAAUUUGUUUGCGAUGCAUAUUCAUCCAAUUCAAUGAUUCUAGGGAAAUCUGAAAGUUAAUUUAAGCGGACCUAAUUAACUUGGAGUGUCGAGGUUCACAACUUAUUAAAUUGAUAACUGGAAAUUGAUUUACGUUGCAUAUAUUUCAUGUGUGGAGAAGAACCCCUUAGCUAUUCCAUCAUCCAUUGAUUCAUCACAAUUUUGUCUUACAAUCUGUUUUCUUUUCAAUCUGCCCAUUUAAUUAUUUUCGUCCAAAAUCAAUCCCACCCUAUUUCUUUGAGUCAUAUUAACUAGAACUUGUCUUAGAAUAUGUUUUUAGGUAUUUUAGGUCAUUAGAAAACCAAAAUUCGUCCAAGUUGUGUUAGAGUCCCAAAACUGCCCAGAAAGUGGUUUUUAGGCGGUUUUUAGUGUUUGUUUGCUGUUUUGAG